UCCUCACGUUCCAUAAACGCAUCACCUGUAAACAAUGGACAGGUGCUGCACAGCUGUUACACACAGUGACACACAGUGACACACAGUCAGACACAGUUACUGCAGAGCGUGUGGAUAAGCUGGAAAAGUAAAGUUUGGAGAAGAAGAAAGAUAACAACAUGUAGUAGUGUUUGUAGUAGUAGUGGUGCUGUGGCCAGGUUGAGAGAGUUAUCACGGGACGAGACUCCACGUGUUCUUCUCGAGGAUUAUCCAGGGUAUGUCAUGACUGUAGUGUAAGACCAACCACCUCAAGCUGUCAUUCAUCACAACGUCUAUCACACAGGACGCCAACUCACUCUGGCUUCAGACUGACCAAACUGCUAUCCCAGACUCCAUGAGUUCCCCGCCCCAGUGACCAAAGCUGCUCUAUAUACAGAGGCAUCAUCGCUCUGAUCUUCUGCACAACAUCACGCGCAUGAAAUGAUAUUUCAAUGUUUAAAACAUUUAUUUUAGUUCUCAAUUACUUUUGCGCAAACAGUUGUGUUCAAGCAUUUGUUUCAGCAUGUGCAUGCCUGUGUGUAUGAUAGAGACCAGCACAUUGUUUCUUCUGGGACUCAGAGCCUGGGAAAACUGUGUUUGGGUUCACCCCUCUGUGCUUCUCUGGCUUCACUUACUGUACGUCAUUUUGCAUUAUGCAAAGUUUUCACUCAUUUUCACACACUCUCCUCACCGCUCCCUCUCUGAGCAUGUUAGUGGUAAAUUACAGCUGGCACAAACAUGUUUUCCUGAGCAGCAGAAGGUAGGCAGAGAGAGAAUAGAUGAGAUGCGAAAGGGAAAACAGAGAGAGAGAGAUGUGGUUCUCCAGUUUCAGAGUGUCUGUUGUUAUUAAUGAUGAAGAGAAGAUGGGUUCCUCUGAGAGUUGUCAGAGGUCGAGGGCCAGAGUGGGGUUUCUGGUUGUGGUCCAACAUACACACAGUCAUACAGAUGUCAGCUAUUCCCCCAGUUCGGUUAAAGCCACUCUAGAUUUGUCCAGGAUACAACAUUAUAAUGAACAGUACGGGCCAAAGCGAGUGCAACCUAAUGAGGAGCAGACACCGAAUACCCUGAGAUGAACUCGGAGCUGCAACAACAGCAGUACUGUGACGGUCAUCCUGUAAACAUGAAGUAUAUCAUGAGGAACGUGAAGCCAGAAAACUGAAUGAGGUUAUGUCGAUUAAAAUGAAAAACAAAUCCACGUACGGUUAGUCUUGGUUAUUGUUCCUCCUGAAAGUUUUCCUGUCAGAUGAAGGUCAUCCAAGAAACAGUGACGGCUUUUAUCAGGCAUGUUUUCACCAUCACCACUCGUAGUCAGUGUUUCCAGAAAACGUCAUCAUGCUGACAGGUUUUGCUUUUCGCUGUGUAACAACAGUUCACGCUGAGCUUCUUUGACCAAGAAACUAAUACGAGCAGAAGAGCAGCAGACAAUGAAGCUUUUCUGCAAAAGCAUAAUACCAGUUGCAUGACUGGCACAUCUGAGGGGAAUUUCAGGGAGUUGGCACUUGCAGAGUAACUGAUGUUUUCUUCUUCCUCAAACUAGAUACACAUCGUUGCAGCACAGUAACCAGAUCAUGUUCUUUCUCCCAACUUCUCAGUAUACAGAAUAUACUCUUUUACAUUUGUGGAAUAUACUUUGUUCUACUUCAUGUUAGUUAAUUAAGCAAUCCUUACUGAUGAGUCCACUUGUUCCAUCUAACUCAAUUUGUUUCACCUUUUGUAAAAAUAAAAAAUGGAUACAA